ensembl:lncRNA
CUAAACUGUGCUUUGAGAGGAUCCUGAUAAUUUCCCAGUACAGCUGGGCCACAGGACCACAUGGUCUGCAAACAGCUUCCGCCACUGAGUUCCCUGCACUAAGUCCUUCAGCUGGAAGUCUCUGCCCUCCUCUUGAAGUUAAAUAAUCCUGUGGUUCAUUUUGUGACAUCCAGGGGAUCUUGCAGAGUUCCUCACUGUGACAGUGCGAGUUGCUGCUGCAGUCAGAACAGCGGGAGAGCUCAGGGAGGGAGGAUUUGAGGCAUGGUGCGGUGCUGCCUCCAGUCUUGGCUAGUGAGACAGGAUGUGGGGACUCCUUCAACAGCCUAAAAAGGGUGUGAGCUGAAUGUCUGUGCGCUGCUCAAGCAUACUGUUCUCUGAAGCAUAAUCUCUCCACCAUCGGUCCUUUGCAUCACCCACCUGACAGGCUAUGGCAACUUCAUGAGCCCUAAGCAGCCACUGAAAACAUUAAGGUUAUGUACAGUAUGAAAUGAUACGUGUGCCCAUGUUGAGACCUACCUAUACAUGUUUGUGACAAAUGAGUUCCCAGCAAGAUUCAGCAGGCCACUGCUGCCUGAAAUCAACAAGUUGCAUCACGCCAUUUGUGAGAGAACUUGCUUCUAACAAAAAGAGAACAGUUUGCAGACCUCAAGCACGUGCAGUUUCAAGCUCUGGGGAGCAGCAAGAAGAGCUGCACCAGUGAAACUCAUGCCUACUGCAGUCCAGCUACUGUUAGCCAGAACUGGAGCACAAACCAUUCCAGUUAAGUGGACAGAGAAAGCAGAACAGCCAUGCUAAUUUCAGUAAUUUCUCCCAUGACUGCUUUUCCUCUGCUUUAUCCACUUAACUCUCAUCUGUUUUGUCCUCUGGGCACAUAUCUGCGUGACUCAAUUUCACUUUCCAGGAAGAGGUAACCCUCCUGAGCCUCCUCCUGGGCUUCCUUAUUGGCAAGAAGAUCUCGUGCCUCCUAGGAAAGCACGCACAGGAAAUCGGGGGAGAAUGGAUUUGAAGCUUGUGGUUGAGUCACAUCAGUUAUCCUGACGUGGACUUCAGAUCUGAAAAGAUGAAAACGCCAUUCGUAUUUUGAUCACUGUGCCAAAGGUUACAUUGGAUAACUGGACAAAAUGUGCUGUAGAAACCUCUGCAAGUGAACUGCCCUGCUCGUCACCUCACGCAGGACUGGUACUUGAAAAUUCAGACAAGAAACCUAUAAAGCUUCGAGUCAGACUGCAAACACUGUUUUCAGGUUGUGAAAACACUGUUUUCGAGACUCGCGUUGGCAGGAAAGGUUUGAUCACAUGUAUAUAUCGGAACAGAAGUAGGAGUGAAACUCCAAGAUACUUUGGCUUUCUGCUGUCAAAUAUUCCACAGCACAAAGGCAAUACUUAACACUUAGAGGGCGUAACAGCAGCAAAAUGUCCAAACGUCCUAUCUGUCCACAUGUCAAAUCUCUUCUGUGCAUCCUUUCUGUGUCCCCCCAGCAGACUCCCGCACCGCACUAAAUUACCACAAGCAAGCAGUAACCAUGGGCCAGACAUCUUGGAGGAAUGCUUACUUUGCUAUCCAAACCACUCUGAUGUACCGGAACUUUAUGUCACUCCAUAGCUAUGAGCAUGUAAUGGAGAGACUCGAAUGGCCUCAGGACCCGCACCUUGUGAGCCGGCAGGGAGCUGGGCCUGGAGACGUGGCUGCUGAUAUACAUGAAUAUAUGAACAGAACAAGAUGCCUGGCAUUGCCAAAGUACAUCCUGACCUCCCAUCCCUGCCUGACUCCCCCAGCAGUUUCCCUGGAGGUGUGAUUGUUUAUAUGGG